ACUAUGACGUUGUCUUUGCAUAUGGCAAUCCAGGGUUCCUUUAAGAAUGCAUUUAAUUACCAGGGCCAUGCUGCCUGGCCCCUGCAAGAUCCUUCCCUGGCAGAACCUUUCUCUGCAGGGAAGCUGGGGGCUAUGGCCGCAUCUGAGGAAGCUGUCCUAGUGCCUGCCCCAUCCUGUGCUUUCUGCUGAGCUGACUGCUGCCUGUGCUCAGCCUCCCUCCCGACUUUUGAUUGGAUUCCGGAAAGUCAUUCUUUGCGCUGCUUCCCAAUUUCUGAACAUCUGCGGCCUUGGGGUUCCAGCUGUGUGUCAGGGUGCUGAGAAUUCACAGAGAUGUUUCAAAGCCCAAGUCUUGUCUGAAGACGUAUUCCCAACCUGUGUCCCUUAGGUCUGUCAGACGUCCAACAGGGAAAUGGAAAAUGCCCACUGAGAUGCCCGAAUAAGCUGGUGUUUUAUUUCCAAAUGUUAACAGCAGGAAAAAGAAGAAAGAAAACUAGAAAACAAAAUUUAAGCAUCUUAAGAAGUAGAAUCCCAAUCUCUCUUUAUGUAUCUAUAAUGGACACCGCCACCACAGGAAAGAGACAUUAAUCCCUUACGCCCAAUAUAGACACAAAGUCUUAGUAAACGUGGAGUGUUCACCAGUUAUGAAUUGGAA